UAUACACAUGCAAGUCUCCGCCUCCCUGUGAAAACGCCCUUUAAACCCCACUAGGGACAAGGAGCUGGUAUCAGGCACUAUAUUAUGCCCAAGACACCUAGCUAUGCCACACCCACAAGGGACUUCAGCAGUGAUUAACAUUGAAUAUUAGCGUCAGCUAGAUUCAGUUAAAGUAAAAAGGGCCGGCAAAUCUGGUGCCAGCCGCCGCGGUUACACCACGUGGCCCAAAUUGAUUUCCCAUCGGCNUAAAGCGUGAUUUAAGGAAGUUAAACUAAAACUAAGCUGUGACACGCUUGUCUUUAAGAAACCCAAAAACGAAAGUUACUUCAAUUAAUUCAACUUGAACCCACGACAGCUAGGAAACAAACUGGGAUUAGAUACCCCACUAUGCCUAGCCGUAA
rnacentral:rRNA from 1 species